GCAUGCAUGGUGUAGUGGUUAGAGCACUGGACUAUGACUCUGGAGACCAGGAUUCAAAUUCCAGCUUGGCCA